UUUAGGGUUAAGAGUUAAAACGAAACGUCGAAAGCCAAUCUUUCCUUCAAGUCUUGAAUUUCUUCUGGCUUCUCUCUGUCUUCUCGAUUUCUCAUCUUCCCUCUUCCAUCGACCAUGACCGCAAAAUCGCCUUCCCUCUUCCGUCGACCACGACCGCCAGACGAGACGAAGUCACGAGAGAGGACCAAGGUCCACGGCCUUGGGUCUUCCAUGUUCCAUCUAGAAGGGGAAGGCCGAAGGGGUGAAGCCGUGAAGCGCGGCAGCCAGCAGCGGAGCAGCCGGCAGGGCGGCGGGCGGCAGGCGGCAGUGCCUGGGUCUCGCGUGCGUGGUCGGUGACUUUCCCCCUUCUUCAAGCGCCUGGGUCUCGCUUGCGUGGUCGGUGACGCGUGACCUUUGUCCCGGACUCCCGGUUUCCUGUAUUUGUGAAAAAGGAUGGCAGGUACAAAGGAUAAGUUCACAUGAAAAAGCAAAUGAACACAUAAAAAUCUUGUUUUAAAAUUUUUGUUUUGAGAAUAAUAUAGCAGGUGAACACAUAUAAGGUCAGUUUGAUUUUUGUGGGUACAACUCCCCCAUGACAUAAAUAGUACAUUGUGACACUCUAUUUGAUAUGUGUAUCAUAACUCAUUUAGGUCUAGAGGUAGCCCAAAACAUUUAAGGACA